rnacentral:lncRNA from 1 species
UACAACAAUAGACUUGUCGAUUCAAUACCCAUUACUCUGUACCAAUUAACCAAUUUGGAAAUUUUGGACGUUGAUAAUAACCAACUUCAAGGUUCUAUUCCCCAAGAAAUUUGUAAUCUAGCAAAUUUAACUUCAUUGUACCUCUCCCAAAACAAAUUGACUGGUUCAAUCCCUUCUUGUGUUGGUAGUUUAUCAAAGAUGCUGUACUUAAGCCUUGGUUCUAAUCUAUUAAAAGGUCCUAUUCCCCAAGAAAUUUGUAAUCUAGCAAAUUUGACUUCAUUGUACCUCUCCCAAAACAAAUUGACUGGUUCAAUCCCUUCUUGUAUUGGUAGUUUAUCAAAGAUGCUGGACUUAAGCCUUGGUUCUAAUCUAUUAAAAGGUUCUAUCCCAAAAGAAAUUGGCAAGCUUUUUGAUCUAUCAUAUCUAAAC